CUCAGGGUAUCAGCCUACAUUCCACCAGCCUCAUGUCAGGCUAUCAGCCUACAUUCCACCAGCCUUAUCUCAGGGUAUCAGCCUACAUUCCACCUGCCUCAUGUCAGGCUAUCAGCCUACAUUCCACCAGCCUUAUGUCAGGGUAUCAGCCUACAUUCCACCAGCCUCAUGUCAGGCUAUCAGCCUACAUUCCACCAGCCUCAUGUCAGGCUAUCAGCCUACAUUCCACCAGCCUCAUGUCAGGCUAUCAGCCUACAUUCCACCAGCCUCAUGUCAGGCUAUCAUCCUACAUUCCACCAGCCUCAUGUCAGGGUAUCAGCCUACAUUCCACCAGCCUUAUGUCAGGGUAUCAGCCUACAUUCCACCAGCCUCAUGUCAGGCUAUCAGCCUACAUUCC